rnacentral:rRNA from 1 species
UACAGAGGUCUCAAGCGUUGUUCGGAUUCAUUGGGCGUAAAGGGUGCGUAGGUGGCGGUAGUAGUGGAGUGUGAAAUUUCGGAGCUUAACUCCGAAACUGCAUUCGAUACUGCCGUGCUUGAGGACUGGAGAGGAGACUGGAAUUUACGGUGUAGCAGUGAAAUGCGUAGAGAUCGUAAGGAAGACCAGUGGCGAAGGCGGGUCUCUGGACAGUUCCUGACGCUGAGGCACGAAGGUCAGGGGAGCAAACGGG